rnacentral:rRNA from 1 species
UAGGGAAUCUUCGGCAAUGGACGGAAGUCUGACCGAGCAACGCCGCGUGAGUGAAGAAGGUUUUCGGAUCGUAAAGCUCUGUUGUUAGAGAAGAACGUUGGUAGGAGUGGAAAAUCUACCAAGUGACGGUAACUAACCAGAAAGGGACGGCUAACUACGUGCCAGCAGCCGCGGUAAUACGUAGGUCCCGAGCGUUGUCCGGAUUUAUUGGGCGUAAAGCGAGCGCAGGCGGUUCUUUAAGUCUGAAGUUAAAGGCAGUGGCUUAACCAGUGUACGCUUUGGAAACUGGAGGGCUUGAGUGCAGAAGGGGAGAGUGGAAUUCCAUGUGUAGCGGUGAAAUGCGUAGAUAUAUGGAGGAACACCGGUGGCGAAAGCGGCUCUCUGGUCUGUAACUGACGCUGAGGCUCGAAAGCGUGGGGAGCAAACAGG